rnacentral:rRNA from 1 species
UGAGCGGCGGACGGGUUAGUAACGCGUGGGAACGUACCCAGAUCUAAGGAAUAGCCACUGGAAACGGUGAGUAAUACCUUAUACGCCCUUCGGGGGAAAGAUUUAUCGGAUUUGGAUCGGCCCGCGUUAGAUUAGGUAGUUGGUGGGGUAAUGGCCUACCAAGCCUACGAUCUAUAGCUGGUUUUAGAGGAUGAUCAGCAACACUGGGACUGAGACACGGCCCAGACUCCUACGGGAGGCAGCAGUGGGGAAUCUUAGACAAUGGGCGCAAGCCUGAUCUAGCCAUGCCGCGUGAGUGAUGAAGGCCUUAGGGUCGUAAAGCUCUUUCGCCUGUGAUGAUAAUGACAGUAGCAGGUAAAGAAACCCCGGCUAACUCCGUGCCAGCAGCCGCGGUAAUACGGAGGGGGUUAGCGUUGUUCGGAAUUACUGGGCGUAAAGCGCACGUAGGCGGAUUAGAAAGUUAGGGGUGAAAUCCCGGGGCUCAACCUCGGAACUGCCUCUAAAACUCCUAGUCUAGAGUUCAAGAGAGGUGAGUGGAAUUCCAAGUGUAGAGGUGAAAUUCGUAGAUAUUUGGAGGAACACCAGUGGCGAAGGCGGCUCACUGGCUCGAUACUGACGCUGAGGUGCGAAAGUGUGGGGAGCAAACAGGAUUAGAUACCCUGGUAG